UUGAUUUGUGCGUUGAGGGCCUUCUGCAGAUUUGCUCUGGAACUGACUUAUGUUGCAAAUAUUGCCAGACAUAUUCCAGGGUGCUCAGUCCAUUCAAUGGGGCACUGGCUUGUUGUCCAUCAGUGUUGUCCACAUGAAUCAAGAGUGCACACUGUCCUUCAUAUACAAAUCUGCAAGGAAAGAUCAAUAGUGGUAAGAGAGUUAUCUCAUCGAGAAGUUUAUCUUCCACUGCUAAUCCUCUCACUGAGGAAUCCCUGCUAGGUUCUCAAGGAACCCCAGUGUUCUCUGGAAUAUAAUUUAAAAUAUGGGAAGGGACCUUGAGACACAGUUGUGAAGUAACUAGGGAUGUACAAGGUUUCAGCUUUCAGAUGUGGAACACUACACAAAGACAAGCAGUGAUAAAUCAUGAGUUCAAGUAUGAAACACAAUAGUUCAUUGUGCUAUUUUCUGUGACACAGCAAUGAGCAUAUGCAGACCUACCCUUAGGUAACUUCUUUUCCUCUUCAGGUUCCUCUGGGUCAUUUAAAAUGACAAAUUCUGGAGAUUCCUUUAUAAAUCUGCAGUCACUCACUUCCUACCAGAACUCGCCAGUAGGAGCCAAUGUGCAGUCACAGAUGGAUUCCUUACACCAUGUCAUACACCAGGCAGGAAGAUAUGAUAGUAUUGUUGGGAAUCCUUUAUAUUCGACGCAGCGCAUUGACGCAAAUGGCAGCUGGCAGGACGCAACUACCCCUUCAUCAAUCACUUCACCUGCCGGGGAUCCCGGAAGCAUUAAUUCAGAUGCAUCUAAUUAAAUUUUUAGGACCUGUUUGAGGAGAGGAAAGAGGUCGUUAGUGUAACUCGUCAAUGUUGCUCUUUUUUUGCCAAUACUUUUGAUUCUCCAACUUGACACACACAGCUGAUUACCUCAGACAGAAAAAAAGGAAAAAAAAGAAAAAACCAAUAGAAGAUUGUGAUUAUAUAUGGACACCUCUCUACCUCUUGGCAUGACAUGCUUGAGUUCUUCUGGCUUCUGCCCUUUUGGGUCGUAAAGGAACUGGCUUCAUUUACCAAACCAAAUUCCUUUUUUAAAAAGAAAAAAAAAGAAAUAUCACUUUUAUGCUUAAGAGUCUGAAAUGUGUCUCUCGAAUGAACUUUGGGAUUUGUCUCCAUUUUUUUUCCAGUUUAAGAAAAAAAUAGCAACUAAUUUUAAUUUCUACGUGUUUUUAUUAUGAAAAAUUCUGUUCUAGAUGCUAGUUACUAACAAAUAGCCCUUCUUGUACUGUAACUGUAUGCGUUCUCUGUAUUGUAAUUUUGUAUAGGAAGAUUUUCUUUUUCUUUGAACUCAUUAAUAGAACAGGCCCUUGCUUUACCAAAAUGAUUGUUGGACUUUGCCCCUUGAAUAGAAAUUUCAUUUUUCUGUGUCACUCUCAUGUAGCUCUAAUUUAAUGUCUUAGAGUAAACGCAGACCUCCAUGUGAAUAGUUUUUUGUGCAUUUAAGAAAAAUGUUAACUGCAAAGUCCACCACAUUCAGUUGAAAUUUUAUCAAAGAAUAAACUUCCAAAGUCUUCCCCUCCCCCUU